GUGGGGAAUAUUGGACAAUGGGCGAAAGCCUGAUCCAGCCAUGCCGCGUGUGUGAAGAAGGUCUUCGGAUUGUAAAGCACUUUAAGUUGGGAGGAAGGGCAGUAAGUUAAUACCUUGCUGUUUUGACGUUACCGACAGAAUAAGCACCGGCUAACUUCGUGCCAGCAGCCGCGGUAAUACGAAGGGUGCAAGCGUUAAUCGGAAUUACUGGGCGUAAAGCGCGCGUAGGUGGUUUUGUAAGUUGGAAGUGAAAUCCACGGGCUCAAACUGGGAACUGCUUUCAAAACUGCUGAGCUAGAGUACGGUAGAGGGUGGUGGAAUUUCCUGUGUAGCGGUGAAAUGCGUAGAUAUAGGAAGGAACACCAGUGGCGAAGGCGACCACCUGGACUGAUACUGACACUGAGGUGCGAAAGCGUGGGGAGCAAACAGGAUUAGAAACCCUAGUAGUCC
rnacentral:rRNA from 1 species